GUUAGCAGCUUGUGACAAGUUUAGCUCAGUUUGGAAGUGUGUGCAUGAAUAGCAGGAACUCAGAAACAUCACUCAUCACCAAGCUCUGUCCUUGGGCUUGCAGCAAUGUGAACACAUCUGCAGGCGGCAUGAGGCCAUUACAUCCUGGAAUGUAAACACCGAGGCCUGCUCGGCCCUCCUGCGUGCAGUGCUCCACAGAAACAAGCAGUGGGCCACUCGCUGCAGACAAAGCCCUCAGAGAGAGGAACUGAGGAAUAACGGGCUGGAUGAAGCAAGAGAGAAUGACAUGGUCUUUGGCAAGAAAGAUGUACUUACAGGUUAUGUGAAUUUCUUGCAUCAGAAGAACAGCAGGGAAACGUCCCAGUCGUGCCAGCCAGCCAACCUCCUUGGAGCACAGGACAAGGCAGCAGGGCCCAUCCCAUGCUAAUAAACCACCCCAACAGACAUCCCCUUUUCCCUCUGAGCUGUUCCUGAAGCUUUGUUAUUCCUCUGGUCAAUAGAAAAGACAAUCAGACUGAAUUCCAAGGGAAAGAAAUAGGCUGCUUGUCCCUGCUCCCAGGACUGGCACAGUAACCCUACAGGGCUAACCUGGUAACCCAGCAAGCUCUUGAAGCUCUCUCUGAGCAGUGCAGUGCAGAGACCCACCACACCAGAGCUGUGCAAAGCUUGAAAAGGGACCUGAAUGGGACCCAGCACAUCUGCAAAGAGAAAUCUGAAGCACUGUUUGCAACAAAGGACCCGAGGUGUCAGCCUGCCCUACAGGAAUGCUCUUGGACUUUGGAAUGUUGUUCCAUGCUAAAGUGCUCUGGUGUUCCCAAGGAGGGGUGGUGAUCUCUCUAGGGCAACACUAGUCUGCUUUUGUCUUCCAGCCCCUCACUCAGGUUCCCAGAACAAGGCUACAACAUGUCUGGCUCCAUGACUUAAUUGAGUGCCAAGGCAGAUCAGCAUUCAGCAAGUGAUUUACAGGUUUCCCAACUACUGUCAGCCAAACCACCGUGCUCUGGGAUUCAAACAGCACUAAGGAGUCAACCUGCAGGGUGCCACAGCAUCUGCAGCUGCCUCAGGUUGUGCUGCUGCUGUUGUGCAUCUGAGUCCCAGUGCUAGAAAUGAAAAGGUUCAGAGAAUCAUGACACCAAGGAAAGGCCCAAAGCCGCACUCUUCUCCUGAGAGCUUCUCUUUACUCAACAGUUUUUCCUCUGAGCAUGUUCCAGUGUUUCUGCACUCCCAGUCCACCUGCAGCAGCCAGGGCCAGCCAAAGCAGGCUCUCAUAGCCUGGCCUUCCUGCUGGGAGCUUUUCACACCUUGAGCAACCUCCUUUCCAGCAGAUCACAGGUGUUCUCCACAUGGCGUGAGCAGGUGAAAGCACAACUUUGCCAAACCAUGAUGAAGUUUGGUAGCUGAAACACAAAAUCCACGUUUGGCCUGAGAUCUGAAUCUGGC